rnacentral:rRNA from 1 species
GAUGAACGCUAGCUACAGGCUUAACACAUGCAAGUCGAGGGGAAACGGCAUUAAGUGCUUGCACUUUUUGGACGUCGACCGGCGCACGGGUGAGUAACGCGUAUCCAACCUUCCCAUGACUAAGGGAUAACCUGCCGAAAGGCAGACUAAUACCUUAUGGUCUUCACUGACGGCAUCAGAUGUGAAGUAAAGAUUUAUCGGUUAUGGAUGGGGAUGCGUCUGAUUAGCUUGUUGGCGGGGUAACGGCCCACCAAGGCAACGAUCAGUAGGGGUUCUGAGAGGAAGGUCCCCCACAUUGGAACUGAGACACGGUCCAAACACCUACGGGAGGCAGCAGUGAGGAAUAUUGGUCAAUGGGCGAGAGCCUGAACCAGCCAAGUAGCGUGCAGGAUGACGGCCCUAUGGGUUGUAAACUGCUUUUGUAUGGGGAUAAAGUCAAUCACGUGUGAUUGUUUGCAGGUACCAUACGAAUAAGGACCGGCUAAUUCCGUG